rnacentral:rRNA from 1 species
GUGAACCUACGGGGCGCAGCAGUGGGGAAUAUUGCACAAUGGGGGAAACCCUGAUGCAGCGACGCCGCGUGAGUGAUGAAAUAUUUCGGUAUGUAAAGCUCUAUCAGCAGGGAAGAUAAUGACGGUACCUGACUAAGAAGCUCCGGCUAAAUACGUGCCAGCAGCCGCGGUAAUACGUAGGGGGCAAGCGUUAUCCGGAUUUACUGGGUGUAAAGGGAGCGUAGGUGGCAGGGCAAGUCAGAUGUGAAAACCCGGGGCUCAACUCCGGGAGUGCAUUUGAAACUGUCCAGCUAGAGUGCAGGAGG